GGGGGUGUAGCUCAGUGGUAGAGUGCAUGCUUGGCGUGCACGAGGCCCUGGGUUCGAUCCCCAGCAACUCCA